GGUAAAGCUACUGUUUCGAUGCGGGCUGCGAGAGCGGUACCAAAUCGUGGCAAACUCAGAAUGUAUGAUAUUGCCUACCGUUAGCCAGUGAGACCCAAGGUGAUAAGAUCUUCGGUCAAGAGGGAAACAGCCCAGAUCACCAGCUAAGGCCCCUAAAUGGUUUCUAAGUGGAAAAGGAUGUGAGAGUGCAGAAACAACCAGGAGG
rnacentral:rRNA from 1 species